GUCAGUAUAAAUGUUAAAUCUUUUAUCUUU
rnacentral:piRNA from 1 species